CAUGUUGAAGUCAGCCCCAGAUAUGUGGACCCCACUGAGAGGCAGUGUCAACAGUCAAAUGAUAACAGACCAAUAUCUGCUCCUUGGGCCUGCUGCAUGCACAGCGCCUGGGCAGGAGAAGCCCCUGGCAGGACCACAGCCUAGACAAAAUCCUAGAACUGUCCAGGCCUAGAUGGAUACGAGGACCGACAAGUCUCUCCUCUAGGGCUCACAGUCUAGGCUGGAGGAGCACGGGAGUGUGAAGAGGAUAAGUGUGUCACAGUUUCCUGGUCAGUGAAUACAACAUGCCUCAAAGUGUUUCUUGGUUCUCUUGGUGCCUCUCCAUGCGGUCGUCAACUUGCCAGACUUCUUCUAGAAUGAAGCAUAAUAAACUAUAUGUUGGUGAAUAUUUCUGCUAAUGUAUUAUGUAUGGCUCAUGACUUUUUGCUCUUCUGUGAGACUGAAGCUUUACUUUGAGGGCAAAUGUCCAUAUCUAAAAGAAAUACCAAGGCUGAGUGGAAUCUAUAUCCCUGAGCUUAGCAGGAAAGCCACAUUAAAAAAAAAUUGUACUAGUAGAAACAGAACCAGAUAAUACGAUGAUGAGCAUAAAUAUAUCUGGCUAUAUGCAAACAAGACUUUGCAAACUGGGGAGAAAGAUGGAAAUAAUGCCAAGGAGUAGUAAAAAGGAACAAAGAAGAACAGCUGCGACUGGGUCAGUGAGAAGGUCCAUCUAGGAGAAUUAAAAGUGACGAGGGUAAAAUGAUGAUUAGAGGAAAUAAAGGAAGGACUGGAUGAGGAACAGAGAGAUGUGAGCUAGUGUCUCAGCAACUCACUGUUGGAUUGCUGUAAUUUAACCUUCACUUGCCUCUGCUUCCAGUGUCUUUGAGCUCUUGUCUAGUUAUCUAUCAGUAUGAAACUGAUUUUUAUGAAACCAUCAAUUCCAGCUGCCAACAGGAAUACUUUUGUAGCCAGUGCUUUAAAAAGCCUUAUAAUAGUAAUUCAUUCCUGUAUGGGUAUGAGGGCCCAGGAACUCAUGUCCAGUGAGAGGAAAACAGGCCAUGGGAUAAAUCAAAUACUACUUGACUCAGAAUUAGAUUCACUGCUGAAUUCUGAUUGCUGAGUGUACCAUCUUAUUCUGUAAUAGUUCACAAAUACUGCAUUGAUCCUGAUUUUUAACUGCUCUCUACCUACCAAAUAUGGAAAAGACAUGAGGACAAAUAUUGUAUGAUUCUACUUAUAUGAGGUACCUAGAAUAGUCAAAGCAUAGUAAUAGGAAGUAGAAUAUUGGUUACAAGUGCCUGGGGGAAGGUAGAACAGAGAGUUAUUUUUUUAAUGGGUACAGAGUUUCAGUCUGUGGUGAUGCAGAGUUUUCUGGAGAUGGAUGGUGGUGAUGGUUGCAACAAUACAAAUGUACUUAAUACUACUAAACUGUACACUUAAAAAUGGUUAAAAUGGUAAAUUUUGUUAUCUAUAUUUUGCCACAAUUUAAAAAAAGAGAAAAAUAUCUCCUCAAGAUCCUUAAUGAAGUUGAUAGGAAUGACAGGCAGAAUACACCAAAAAGGGAAAAUGUAAGUCUCUAACAGUCUUGCAAAAAAAGCACAUUAAUAUGGGAAGAUGGUACAGAGAAAUGGUGUUAACUUAUGUUAACUGUUCCCAGUUAUUUCCAAAGGUUCAAGGCCUUUAGAAGAGAGU